AGUGAAACUGAAGGUGAGGAAAUCAAGGCUCAGAGUGAUUAACACCUUGAACAAAAUCAAGAGCUUAAGAAUGCCAUUCCCUACCACAAAGGCAGAAGAGAGAGUCAGU